rnacentral:rRNA from 1 species
UACGUAGGGUGCGAGCGUUGUCCGGAAUUAUUGGGCGUAAAGGGUGCGUAGGCGGUUGUUUAAGUCUGUCGUGAAAUCCCCGGGCUCAACCUGGGAAUGGCGAUGGAUACUGGGCAGCUAGAGUGUGUCAGAGGAUGGUGGAAUUCCCGGUGUAGCGGUGAAAUGCGUAGAGAUCGGGAGGAACAUCAGCGGCGAAGGCGGCCAUCUGGGACAACACUGACGCUGAAGCACGAAAGCGUGGGGAGCAAACAGG